rnacentral:rRNA from 1 species
UACGGAGGGUGCAAGCGUUAUCCGGAUUCACUGGGUUUAAAGGGUGCGUAGGUGGGCAGUUAAGUCAGUGGUGAAAUCUCCGGGCUCAACCCGGAAACUGCCAUUGAUACUAUCUGUCUUGAAUAUCGUGGAGGUAAGCGGAAUAUGUCAUGUAGCGGUGAAAUGCUUAGAUAUGACAUAGAACACCGAUAGCGAAGGCAGCUUACUAGACUGUAACUGACGCUGAUGCACGAAAGUGUGGGGAUCAAACAGG